AUUGAACGCUGGCGGCAGGCCUAACACAUGCAAGUCGAACGGUAACAGGAAGAAGCUUGCUUCUUUGCUGACGAGUGGCGGACGGGUGAGUAAUGUCUGGGAAACUGCCUGAUGGAGGGGGAUAACUACUGGAAACGGUAGCUAAUACCGCAUAACGUCGCAAGACCAAAAAGGGGGACCUUCGGGCCUCUUGCCAUCGGAUGUGCCCAGAUGGGAUUAGCUAGUAGGUGGGGUAACGGCUCACCUAGGCGACGAUCCCUAGCUGGUCUGAGAGGAUGACCAGCCACACGGGAACUGAGACACGGUCCAGACUCCUACGGGAGGCAGCAGUGGGGAAUAUUGCACAAUGGGCGCAAGCCUGAUGCAGCCAUGCCGCGUGUAUGAAGAAGGCCUUCGGGUUGUAAAGUACUUUCAGCGGGGAGGAAGGGAGUAAAGUUAAUACCUGUGCUCAUUGACGUUACCCGCAGAAGAAGCACCGGCUAACUCCGUG
rnacentral:rRNA from 1 species